rnacentral:rRNA from 1 species
UACGAAGGGAGCUAGCGUUGUUCGGAAUCACUGGGCGUAAAGCGCACGUAGGCGGAUGUGUCAGUCAGGGGUGAAAUCCCGGAGCUCAACUUCGGAACUGCCUUUGAUACAGCACGUCUUGAGUCCGGAAGAGGUGGGUGGAAUUCCUAGUGUAGAGGUGAAAUUCGUAGAUAUUAGGAAGAACACCGGUGGCGGAGGCGGCCCACUGGUCCGGUACUGACGCUGAGGUGCGAAAGCGUGGGGAGCAAACAGG